CACUGCAAAGUCAAAUAGAUGAGGUCAUAUGAUUUGCCCGCGACAGCUCAGGAGGACAAGUUUUGACCUGUAGUUGUGUGUGGGUGUGGGUCUGUUUCUGUGUGUCAGUUCUUCAUUAUCAUUACCUCGACUGACCUCGAAAGGGAAGAACUCAGUCUUGCGAUUGGGUGCUGUGGGUAAACAUACCGACUGCCAUUUGGCCUUUGCUCUCUCUGCCUCAAACUUAGCCACCUCCUUGCGGUCGUGGACAGACACCAGCAGCUUCCAGACCCCCAGCAAGAUGAUUCCGAUGUUUCUCUGAGUGAGACAGUGAUGGCCAUUUCAGAGUUCAGUCUCCUAGCUCAAUGUCGCCACCAUUGUGUCUCCCCUGAUGGGCCGC